AACAACCGAGUGAAGCAGUGAUCAACUCACUAUACGGUGAUUGACUCAGUGACUUGAAUAGUUGAAUACUUCCCGUGACGGCGAAGUCACGACGACGUUCACGCCCCGACUCCACGUCACGACCGCAUACACUCCCGUCACGCCACCGCCUUUGUAAAAGGAGCGACAAAGAAGACGCCGUUUAGCUGCCCGCAACAGAUGAGUGCAAACUACAAACUACAAAGGCACCGACACGUCGACGUUUUACAUGGGUAGAAUCGUAAAUAAGAAUAAAGGAAUAUUAUAACGGAAAUUUUUAAUUAGUUUAAUUAAUUAAAUAAGAAUUUGGCGAAACCGAAAUCUCUGCUUUUUUUAAUCUCUUGCCUUGGCUUCUAAAUGCUUCAUUGAUUGUCUUCGCCUUGUUCAUUCUGUUUGUUUCCCACAAUGACCAUGCAUUGAGAUUUUCCCUGUCUGGUUUUCUCGGGAAUCAAACAGAAGACAGACGUUUUUCUCUUCUAUUUAUUAGGGUUUUUGUUGUUAUAAGAUGACAUAUUACGGUGACGACACAGUGGUGCCACAGCUCGGGAUGAGAGUGGAGGCUCAUAGUGAUGAUGGAGGUGACAGCAAAGGGGAGUUUGUGAAAUUGAGAGAUUGUGAGGUGGAGGAAUGUGGGCAUAUUGCGGCAACAGAAGGGUCUAGUUUCUGUCUCUGGAGAUGGAGAGGGUCUGUUGUAUGGUAUUGGGUCAAGUUGGCUUUGUUGUUUACUUGUUUGGGAUUAUUGGCUGCUGUUUUCCUCAAAUGGGUUGGUCCAUUUUUCAUGGACAAGGAGCUCAUCCCUAUCAUUAAUUGGGAGACAACAACUUUUAGCACUCCAGUUCUGGCAAUUCUGGUCUUUGCUUCCGUGGCAUUGUUUCCCACCCUACUUUUGCCAUCUACUCCUUCUAUGUGGGUAGCUGGGAUGACAUUUGGUUAUGGCUUUGGAUUUCUAUUAAUUAUAUCUGCAGCAGCCGUGGGUGUAUCACUUCCAUAUUUCAUUGGCUCACUGUUCCUUCAUAAAAUUCAAGGGUGGUUAGAAAAAUAUCCAAAGAAAGCUGCCAUUCUGAGAGCAGCUGGCGAAGGAAACUGGUUUCAUCAGUUUCGAGCUGUAACAUUAAUCAGGAUUUCUCCAUUUCCAUAUAUUUUAUAUAAUUAUUGUGCUGUUGCCUCAAAUGUUAAGUAUGGUCCUUACAUCUUAGGAUCAUUGGUAGGAAUGGUGCCAGAGAUUUUUGUUGCAAUCUACACGUAAGAGCUCUGACUCUAUCAAAUGCGUUUUUUGCAAAGAAACUUAUAUGCAUGUGUUUCAAUGUAUGCCUAAAGCAUAGGAUUCUACCAUAAUAUGUCUGUAGCUCUUCAAUAUGUUGCAUGUUAACUUUCUAGGUGUGUUGUUACAUUUAUUGACUGUCACUUUUUUUUUGAAAAAAAAAAUUGUAAGUUCCUUUUGGGAGAUGGGGAGGAGUGGAUGGGUAUAUUUUUGGGUGGUUAUGAUUUACUUAAACUUGCAGUUACAUUGCCUGAGUUUGGGUUGAGAAUCACUCAUUGGGGACGCAUUAAUGAUUUUAACAACUGUAUUAUUUUUGCAUAAAAGAGCAUGUGUUGUGUGAAUAGGUUUUCCUUGUCAUAUGAAUUCAUUUAAAUGCCUAUUGAAAUUUUGUUGUAUAUUAUCUUGUUUGGCGUAACCCUCUGCCAUCACCUAAUUAAAACACCAUAGGAAAAUGACUUUAUAGAUAGUUAGUUAGUUGCCAAGACUAGAUCUGAAAUUUUAACCUCUCAACAAUUGGGUAACUUCAGGUAGAGACUUCAGAGGUAUAUCAGAAGAGUGGAUUGGGGAAGACUGUACCCUAAUAUCACUUGAAAACCAGUGUUAUAAAGGGGAGAGGUGACACUAAGGCAACAAAAUACCCUAUGGCUUUAGGCAAUAAGUGAGGCAAGGGACUUUUUGAAGUGAGGCACCAUAGCUUACACACACACACACACACACGCUUUUAACAUAAAAAUAUCGUACUUUUAACUAGUUUAAUAAGUA
rnacentral:misc_RNA from 1 species